rnacentral:rRNA from 1 species
GGAUCAAUAUGUUGGUCGUGCCUUGGUACGUACUAGUUUAUUGGUUUCUUCCUUCCUGAUGAACUGUGAUGUCAUUUAUUUGGUGUCUUGGGGAAUCAGGACUGUUACUUUGAAAAAAUUAGAGUGUUUAAAGCAGGCAUUAGCUUGAAUACAUUAGCAUGGAAUAAUGAAAUAGGACGUUCGAUCCUAUUUUGUUGGUUUCUAGGAUUGACGUA